ensembl:lncRNA
GCUAACAAACGGGGACCAGUAUUUUUCCCUUCUGAUCUCCACCCCUUACCCUUUAGCUGUCAAAUAAAAUGCAGUUGGGAACAGUGACUCGAGCUACAAACACAGUGAUCAUACUUUCUCAAGGAUGUUCACGUUUAGAGAUGUCAUCUUGAACACUUCAUCGCUUAUUGAAGGUUAUAUUUGAGCAGUGACUUGGAAGAUAUGAUGGACAUCACUCUCACGAAGUUUGCAGGUGAUAAAAAAUUGUGGGGAUAACUCAGUAAGCUCAAGAACAAGAAGACCAUUCAGAGCUAUGUGGACAGUCUGGAG